rnacentral:rRNA from 1 species
UACGUAGGGGGCAAGCGUUGUCCGGAAUUAUUGGGCGUAAAGAGCGCGUAGGCGGUCCGAUAAGUCGGCUGUGAAAGUCAGGGGCUCAACCCUUGAAAGCCGGCCGAUACUGUCGGACUAGAGUCCGGAAGAGGCAAGUGGAAUUCCCGGUGUAGCGGUGAAAUGCGCAGAUAUCGGGAGGAACACCUGAGGCGAAGGCGGGCUACUGGGCCGAUACUGACGCUGAGGCGCGAAAGCCAGGGGAGCGAACGGG